rnacentral:rRNA from 1 species
GCAAGUCGAACGAGACCUUCGGGUCUAGUGGCGCACGGGUGCGUAACGCGUGGGAAUCUGCCCUUGGGUUCGGAAUAACAGUUGGAAACGACUGCUAAUACCGGAUGAUGACGUAAGUCCAAAGAUUUAUCGCCCAGGGAUGAGCCCGCGUAGGAUUAGCUAGUUGGUGAGGUAAAGGCUCACCAAGGCGACGAUCCUUAGCUGGUCUGAGAGGAUGAUCAGCCACACUGGGACUGAGACACGGCCCAGACUCCUACGGGAGGCAGCAGUGGGGAAUAUUGGACAAUGGGCGAAAGCCUGAUCCAGCAAUGCCGCGUGAGUGAUGAAGGCCUUAGGGUUGUAAAGCUCUUUUACCCGGGAUGAUAAUGACAGUACCGGGAGAAUAAGCUCCGGCUAACUCCGUGCCAGCAGCCGCGGUAAUACGGAGGGAGCUAGCGUUGUUCGGAAUUACUGGGCGUAAAGCGCACGUAGGCGGCGAUCUAAGUCAGAGGUGAAAGCCCGGGGCUCAACCCCGGAAUAGCCUUUGAGACUGGAUUGCUUGAAUCCAGGAGAGGUGAGUGGAAUUCCGAGUGUAGAGGUGAAAUUCGUAGAUAUUCGGAAGAACACCAGUGGCGAAGGCGGCUCACUGGACUGGUAUUGACGCUG